UCCGGCAGAGCGGAAGCGGCGGCGGGAGCUUCCGGGAGGGCGGCUCGCAGGUCAGAUUAUCCUUGUAGAGGCCCCCUGGAUGGCACCAAGAUCGGCCCUGGCAAGUAGACCUACAAGAUGGGGUACUAACACCACCCCCACCGCCCCCACCACCACCCCCAGCUCCUGAGGUGCUGGCCAGUGCACCCCCACUCCCACCCUCAACCGCGGCCCCUGUAGGCCAAGGCGCCAGGCAGGACGACAGCAGCAGCAGCGCGUCUCCUUCAGGUGGGAGCAGCUCUUUGAGGCCACCUGAUUUCUGGCGUGCUCAGUGCACUCGGGUGGAUUUUCUGUGGGUUUGUUAAGUGGUCAGAAAUUCUCAAUUUUUUGAAUAGUUUCCAUUUCAAAUAUCUUGUUCUACUUGGUUCAUAAAAUAGUGGUUUUCAAACUGUAGAGCUCUGGACUUCUCACUUCUAGGGCAGAGGGAGCCUGAACAAGUGAGGCUCUGGGUUCCCCAUUCCUAAUUAAACCAAUGGAAAGAAGGGGUCUAAUAACAAACUACAGCAACACAUUUUUCAUUUCAGCUUCACUGCUGUGUCUCCCAGUGUAACCCUAGCAUCCAGAAGUGGCACAAAACCCCUCUGCUGGCUCGUGUGUGCAACUGAGACUGUCAGAGCAUGGCUAGCUCAGGGGUCCAGCUCUGCAGGGUGGGGGCUAGAGAGGAAGCAGGGAGUAUCUGCACACAGGAUGCCCGCGCUCAGGUGGUUGCAGAAGUCAGUGCCCAGGCCCCCACACACAGUCUCCAAAGGUCCGGCCUCCCCAGCGCAGGGCUCCUCGUUUGAGGGGAGGUGACUUCCCUCCCAGCAGGCUCUUGGACACAGUAAGCUUCCCCAGCCCUGCCUGAGCAGCCUUUCCUCCUUGCCCUGUUCCCCACCUCCCGGCUCCAGUCCAGGGAGCUCCCAGGGAAGUGGUUGACCCCUCCGGUGGCUGGCCACUCUGCUAGAGUCCAUCCGCCAAGCUGGGGGCAUCGGCAAGGCCAAGCUGCGCAGCAUGAAGGAGCGAAAGCUGGAGAAGCAGCAGCAGAAGGAGCAGGAGCAAGGUGAGCGGGCCCUGGAGCUUGCAGUCGGAGGGCCUUGGGCAAGAUCGCCUCCUCCCCUCCAGCCCUGAGUCCACCGGGUGCUUUCUGCCCACCCCCUGCUCUUGCCAGCUGGCCCCUGCUUCCCCUAGGGCACAUGCUGGAAGCCCUGGGCCGCCACCAGAGGUCCUCAGCCCUCCUGCCUGGGCUAUGGCUC
rnacentral:lncRNA from 1 species